GGGGCCGUAGCUCAGCAGGGAGAGCGUCUGGUUCGCAUUCAGAAGGUCGAGGGUUCGAGUCCCUUCGGCUCCACCA
rnacentral:tRNA from 2 species